GGGGGAAGCAGGACUCACAGGCUUUAUCUAAGAGUGUAUGGGGGAAGCAGGACUCACAGGCUUUAUCUAAGAGUGUAUGGGGGAAGCAGGACUCACAGGCUUUAUCUAAGAUGUAUGGGGGAAGCAGGACUCACAGGCUUUAUCUAAGAGUGUAUGGGGGGAAGCAGGACUCACAGGCUUUAUCUAAGAGUGUAUGGGGGGGAAGCAGGACUCACAGGCUUUA